rnacentral:rRNA from 1 species
UACAGAGGGUGCGAGCGUUGUUCGGAAUUACUGGGCGUAAAGCGCACGUAGGCGGAUUUGUAAGUCAGGGGUGAAAUCCCGGGGCUCAACCUCGGAACUGCCUUUGAUACUGCAAAUCUCGAGUCCGGAAGAGGUGGGUGGAAUUCCUAGUGUAGAGGUGAAAUUCGUAGAUAUUCGCAAGAACACCAGUGGCGAAGGCGGCUCACUGGCCCGAUACUGACGCUGAGGCACGAAAGCGUGGGGAGCAAACAGG